rnacentral:rRNA from 1 species
GAUGAACGCUGGCGGCGUGCCUAAUACAUGCAAGUCGAGCGAACGGACGAGAAGCUUGCUUCUCUGAUGUUAGCGGCGGACGGGUGAGUAACACGUGGAUAACCUACCUAUAAGACUGGGAUAACUUCGGGAAACCGGAGCUAAUACCGGAUAAUAUUUUGAACCGCAUGGUUCAAAAGUGAAAGACGGUCUUGCUGUCACUUAUGGAUGGAUCCGCGCUGCAUUAGCUAGUUGGUAAGGUAACGGCUUACCAAGGCAACGAUGCAUAGCCGACCUGGGAGGGUGAUCGGCCACACUGGAACUGAGACACGGUCCAGACUCCUACGGGAGGCAGCAGUAGGGAAUCUUCCGCAAUGGGCGAAAGCCUGACGGGGCAACGCCGCGUGAGUGAUGAAGGUCUUCGGAUCGUAAAACUCUGUUAUUAGGGAAGAACAUAUGUGUAAGUAACUGUGCACAUCUUGACGGUACCUAAUCAGAAAGCCACGGCUAACUACGUG